rnacentral:rRNA from 1 species
UACGCAGGAGACGAGCGUUGUCCGGAAUUACUGGGCGUAAAGAGCUCGUAGGUGGUUUGUCGCGUUGUUCGUGAAAACCGGGGGCUUAACCCUCGGCGUGCGGGCGAUACGGGCAGACUUGAGUACUGCAGGGGAGACUGGAAUUCCUGGUGUAGCGGUGGAAUGCGCAGAUAUCAGGAGGAACACCGGUGGCGAAGGCGGGUCUCUGGGCAGUAACUGACGCUGAGGAGCGAAAGCGUGGGGAGCGAACAGG